AGUCGAGUUCCGCACGAGAACGUGCGAUGCAGACAUCGGGUCACGCCGAGUUGUUCGAUCACAGCGGUCUGCAUCGAUCCAAACGAUCGGUCAAGGGGGUUCACAGCCCUUGGCGCUGAUGUUUUCGUGUCGGACAAGUUUGAAAGUAAAACCCUCAAUUUGUUGAAAUAUCAGCCAAACUGUCGGACUUAGCCGUCCGGCAGGUCGGUGACGCAAGUCAUCGAUGAGACCGGCCUCGCGAGGGUCCCGGCCCUGUGCCGGGGGAACCAAGCGAGGUCAACAGGUCGACCUUCCUUUGAUCGAAACGCGGCCGUCGCAAGACGGUUGUGUCAACGGAAUCAAUUGAAGAGUUUGAUCCUGGCUCAGAUUGAAUGCUGGCGGCAUGCUUUACACAUGCAAGUCGAACGGGGUUGGGAGCUUGCUUCCAAUCUAGUGGCGAACGGGUGAGUAAUACAUCGGAACGUACCGUGUAGUGGGGAUAACGUAGCGAAAGUUACG
rnacentral:rRNA from 1 species